ensembl:lncRNA
GGAACGUCUCGGCCUCUCUCCUGCCCUCCCAGUCGGUCUUCCACGCCCGGACAGACUUACUGUAACUGUAAUGAUACAUCGUUGCUGUGUGUAGGAGCAGAGGCCCCCCGCCUGAACCAGCCGGCCCAUAGGUCGGGUCAAACAACCAGCUGCCGACCAGGAACAUUCAAAGAAGAGGGGGGGGAGUCGUUGUGUGUGGUCUGUCCAAUAGGUCAUUACUGCAUGGGAGGUGUAGUUGUACCCUGUCCUGCAGGGACUUACGGCCCUAAAGUAGGUCUGCAGCGGUUGAGAGAAUGCACCGUCUGUCCUGCAGGGUUUUUCUGUCUGGAAGGCAGCUCAUUGAGGCCUACCUCCCAGUUCCUGUGCCCACUGGGAUAUUACUGUGAAGAGGGCACUGCCAUCCCGCAUGGGUCACCUUGCCCUGCUGGUACGGCAGGGGAACAACUGGGUCAGACAAGUAGGGCAGCCUGCAAGAGAUGUAGAGAAGGACGCUUCUGUCCUGCAGGCUCAUCGGGUCCUGGCCUGCCCUGUGCUCGUGGGAAAUACUGUCCUGCUGGCACCCUGGAAGAAGUUACGUGUCCUCGAGGCACCUUCACCCCUCAUCAAGGAGCAAUAAGUGUGAAGGACUGUCUCAAAUGCCCUGCUGGUUUUUACUGUCUUGAGGGGAGAAGCGACCCUGUGCCCUGUCCUCCAGGCACCUUUAACCCCUCAGAGGGUCAGGAUGAGUUGACUGACUGCAGAGAGUGUUAUGCAGGAAAAGCCUGCACACAGGUGGCUUUGAGAGCACCCGAUGUGGACUGCAUGCAAGGGUUUGCAUGUCCCCCUGGUUCCUCCAAACCUAACCCGCCAGCCAAUGCCUGCCCACCAGGGAC